GUCAGAAUUCAUCAUAUAAAAAUAUUCAUUUUAUUUACAUGACUUUUAUAUGAUGAAUUCUGACCU
rnacentral:pre_miRNA from 1 species